CAGGAUGCAAAUAGAGAAGGUCUCAUCUUGACUCAGAGUCAGGACUUAGGUCUAUGUAAAUGUCAAGAAGUCACUUGGGGACAUGAGUGAAGACAAGCUCGGCCUCAUGUAUCGGCUUUCUUCUCCAGUGGGGAGUCACAAUUCUGAGGAAUGUGGAUUACUUGAUUUCUUCCAGCAAACACAGCCUUUUUUUCUCCUGAUUUUUACUGUUGUUACUUUACGUGAGCAAAAACAAUGUUUCAGGAUAUUUUCCUGAACGUUUUCCUGAACUUGAUAGACGUCUAUCAAGUCCCUAGACGGCUCCGUGGAUGAGAAGAAGCUGCGAGAGCUGAUGCAUCGCUAUCUGACUCUGAUGGCAAGGCUGGAGAAGCUGGGCUACAGCCGCAAAGUACACCUGGUGUUUAGCGAGUUUCUCAUCAAUACCUAUGGCAUCCUGAAGCAGCGUCCAGACUUGCGGGCCAACACACUGCACAGCAGCCCGGCUGCGCUGCGCAAGCUAGUCAAUGACAUUGUGCUGCCCAAGUUCCUAGGUGACUCCCUGCUACUGCUGAAUUGACUGUGUGAGCUUUCCAAGGAGGACAGUAAACCACUCUUUGCCUGGUGAGCCGCUCGCCUCACCCUUCUGGCAAUAAACAUGUUUGUUCCAAACCCAGGGGUCAUAUUUUUUGCCCUAAAACAACAACAACAACAACAAAAAAAACAAAAACAGCUGUACAUUAAACAGCUUCCCAUCUUUCAUCAGAUGGGAAAUAAGACAGAAUCAAGUGGAGAAAGGCUUGAGAAAGAGUUAAAAACCAAUAACUACCAGCAAAAUAAUGAAUCUUAUGGAGAGGAAAUUUACAAAUGAAAAGGCAAAUGGAAGAUUCUUAAAGUGAGGCAGUGAAGAGAUGGCUCAGUGGGUAAAGUUAGCCCUGAUCUUCUUAUGCAUAGACGUCUCUUCACUGCUGCUUUUCAUGUCUGCUUUGGUUUCUUCAGUGCCACCACAGCCUCACACCCAGCUAUUCUCUCCAGGCUGUUCUGAGUGAGUUUUGGAGACCCUGAGUCAUUUCCAACCCCAGCUGUAAAGGCAGAUAAAGGCUUUUCACCAGAGAAGACACCAGAAGAUCAGGCCAGCUUCUGAGGACAGUGUCAAGAGAACUCUGUGUAUCUAUUAUGUAAUUAUGUCACUACAUUUUUAGUUAUUUCUCAUUCAUAAAAGAAUGCCACUUGACACCAAGCAUGACCUAGGAUGAUUAUGUUUGAAGAGCCCGGCUCUUCCCCAAGCCAAGGUAAUUAGGAAAAGAACUGCAAGAAGUAAAAGGGUGCAGGCAACUCUUGGAAAAUCAGGUGUCCAUUUCCUUAAGGGAGAGGAAAAGGAAGGGAAGGAAGGAGGAAGAAGAAAGAGGAGAAAAAUGGAAGACAGAAAGGGAAUCUGUGCAUAUGAGCAGGGACCUUGAGUCCCAUAGCAGAUAUAUAUGUUCUUGGAACCAAAGCUGGACCUUGGUCCCUGGGAGCUCUUACAGGCGGAAGGUACAGCAUCCAUGACUUCAUGGAGAAAUGGAGGCACACAGCAGGAGAGGGAAGAUGAACCAGGCACAGGUCUGGUUUCUACAGAGGUCAUGAUCUAAACUGCCAAUGGCCCAAAGGGUCUGGUCAUUCCAGUUCAAUUCAUGUACCCUUACUCACUUCCGGGACAGCACUCCACUUAGGGACUGUUGGAGGUAGAGAAUAAUUUGAUGCAGAAGGUUGUUGACUCUGUGAAGUGCUAUAGCUGGUCGCUAUGAAUUUGUGGAGCACUGUCAUACUUGAUGACCCAAGACAUGGUCCUUUUAGUGGGAGAUAGGAGAAGUCUUAGGCAAACUAGGACAAGUUGGUUGGUUCCCUUGGGCAAGAGGAGGGCAGGGCAUUAGGAUUCUGUCAGGAUAAGGAGAGAUAAGCCAGCUUUGUAAUUAUCUAGUUCUUGAGGUAUAAACUUUCUAUGCAAAGGUUGGGAGUAAACUAAAGCAAAUGCCAAUAAACAGUAUGCAUUCA